GAUGAACGCUGGCGGCGUGCUUAACACAUGCAAGUCGAACGGAAAGGCCCAAGCUUGCUUGGGUACUCGAGUGGCGAACGGGUGAGUAACACGUGGGUGAUCUGCCCUGCACUUCGGGAUAAGCCUGGGAAACUGGGUCUAAUACCGGAUAGGACCACUUCUUGGAUGUUGUGGUGGAAAGUUUUUUCGGUGUGGGAUGAGCUCGCGGCCUAUCAGCUUGUUGGUGGGGUAAUGGCCUACCAAGGCGUCGACGGGUAGCCGGCCUGAGAGGGUGUACGGCCACAGUGGGACUGAGAUACGGCCCAGACUCCUACGGGAGGCAGCAGGGGGGAACAUUGCACAAUGGGCGCAAGCCUGAUGCAGCGACGCCGCGUGGGGGAUGACGGCCUUCGGGUUGUAAACUCCUUUCGCUAGGGACGAAGCGUUUUGUGACGGUACCUGGAGAAGAAGCACCGGCUAACUACGUG
rnacentral:rRNA from 1 species